rnacentral:tRNA from 1 species
GGAAUAGCUCAGUUGGUAGAGCGGCGCAUUCGUAAUGCGUAGGUCGCAGGUUCGACUCCUGUUUCCGGCACCA